GGAAGCGAAGGAAACCAGUGUUUGUUGGUUCAUAUUUCCCUAGCCACUUGUGGUUUGGGCGCUGUGAACUUGCGUGAGUUUGGGUUGGUUGAAUCUUUUGGAAGAGCGCAGACAGAGUUGAUGUUUGUUGCUAGCACUGGAUUUGACUGAUGCAGACGAAAUGGUUUUCUUUACCCCGUCUUGAAACACGGACCAAGGAGUCUAACAUAUGUGCGAGUACAGGGGUGUCAAACCCCGGUGCGUAAUGAAAGUGACAGUGGUUGGAUAUUUUGCACAAUCCGCCGGCCUCAAUCCUUCGGGAGAACGGUCU
rnacentral:rRNA from 1 species